AAUGAAGCUGCACGGGAACAGCUAGUUUAAAUAUAACGAUUUAACAAAAAUAACCUAACGGCAUAAAAUUAAUUACGUUUUGGCAGUCAGGAGUACCGGUGGUGGUAUAGAAGGCGGGAAAGUUGACGUAACCAGUAAAAAAAAUUAAGAAGAAAAAGUUUGAGAAUCUCUGGAAUUGAGUUUUAUAUACAAAUUUAAGGACAUAUCAUUAUUUGUGUAACGUUUUAGUAUUUUUUUAAUAAUGUUAUUAAUAAAUAAUUUUUUCUUACACUUUUUAGUCAUAAAAAUAUACCUAUGCGCGUAGCAUCAAAGCAAGAACAAAACGUCUCGUGACAUGACAUUACGAACAGCUGUUUUCUGCUUUUCGAAUUUCUUUCUUUUAGAAUAAGUUAAUGAUUUUGUUUUAUUUUUAAAUCUAUUCUUAAACAAAUGAAAAACGUAUCAACAUAUUAAGUGCACGUAUUUUAAUUUCUAAGAAUCUUUCUAUGCGAUAAAUGGACGUGAAGAAAAUCGAUAUUCCUGUCAAGAGAAAGUGAAAUUUUCAUCGUCGAAUAUUGAAAUAAGAUCGAGAAAACGCUUUGAUAUCGUGGAAAUAUAGUUUUAAAACUGCACACGACUACUACGUCCGUGACACGGCUUGCAAAUAGGUGUAACACUACGUCACAUUUAAAAUAAGCUUGGUUUUAGUAUGACAUCAUUCGCGACCCGAUUAUCGAAUAACACGACGAAAGUAAAAAGAGAUAAACAAUCCGAUUAUAAACAUACUAUCUGUGCGCUUCUUAAUUUAGUAGCGUUAUCUGGUUAAGGCCGCCGGCAUUUUGACAUCAAUGUUCAACUUCGAUUAUGAAUUUACCCACUAAUUUAAAAAAAAUGAAUGCGUUUCGUCCUCUUCAUGUGUCAUUACUUAAUUAAUAUGUUAUAAAAAUAAACAUUUGUAUAUAAUGAAUAAAGUAAAUUAAGUCA